rnacentral:rRNA from 1 species
CCUACGGGUGGCAGCAGUGAGGAAUAUUGGUCAAUGGACGCAAGUCUGAACCAGCCAUGCCGCGUGCAGGAAGACGGCUCUAUGAGUUGUAAACUGCUUUUGUACGAGGGUAAACGCAGAUACGCGUAUUGGUCUGAAAGUAUCGGACGAAUAAGGAUCGGCUAACUCCGUGCCAGCAGCCGCGGUAAUACGGAGGAUUCAAGCGUUAUCCGGAUUUAUUGGGUUUAAAGGGUGCGUAGGCGGUCGGAUAAGUUAGAGGUGAAAUUCGGAGGCUUAACUUCGGAAUUGCCUGUGAUACUGUUCGGCUAGAGAGUAGUUGAGGUAGGCGGAAUGUAUGGUGUAGCGGUGAAAUGCUUAGAGAUCAUACAGAACACCGAUUGCGAAGGCAGCUUACCAGGCUCCUUCUGACGUUGAGGCACGAAAGCGUGGGGAGCAAACAGGAUUAGAUACCCGGGUAGUC